rnacentral:piRNA from 2 species
UCUGAUUUGGUUGAAUCUGUUAUGGAGAU